rnacentral:rRNA from 1 species
UACGCAGGGGGCUAGCGUUGCUCGGAAUCACUGGGCGUAAAGGGUGCGUAGGCGGGUCUUUAAGUCAGGGGUGAAAUCCUGGAGCUCAACUCCAGAACUGCCUUUGAUACUGAGGAUCUUGAGUUCGGGAGAGGUGAGUGGAACUGCGAGUGUAGAGGUGAAAUUCGUAGAUAUUGGGAAGAACACCGGUGGCGAAGGCGGCUCACUGGCUCGUUUCUGACGCUCAGGCGCGACAGCGUGGGGAUCAAACAGG